AAGGAACUUGUUUUGGUCGAACGUGUACGUUCAAAAGUUGUUUCAGUCGUGCAACAGAAAACUCAGAUUAGACAGAUAGCCUAGCUAGCUGUUUCAAUUAACCCUGCAGAGAUCUGAGGUGCAGUUAACCAAAGUCCUAAUAAAUCGACCAGAGUUUAGAAUGGCAACACAAAGAAGCGGAAGGUAACGGAGUCUUCCGGCAGAA